rnacentral:rRNA from 1 species
GCCAGAUCCACCUCUCUCAAAUCCUAUCCCACUAUCCCUUUCCCCACCAUUAGUGCUCCAUGGUUUCGAUCUAGGCCACGGCGCACCAAGCCACAGCAAAGUCCCCAUCGGUGGCCACGCCGGCGCCCGCGUGCGGGCCGAUGCAGUUGAUCCCGUCGGUGGGAGGCCAACCUAGGCGGCGGUGGCGAAGCCACGGGUCCCUUUGGUAGUGGAGCCAUGGAUCCCAUCGGUGGCCAGCGAGGGAAGGUCAGCGGUGUUCCGUUGGUGGUCAAGCUAGGCGGCGGCGGCGCCAUGGAUCCCGUCGGUGGGCAACCUAGGCGGCGGCGACACCAUGAAUUCCAUCGGUGGCCAGCGGGGAGAGGCUAGCGGGGGCUGCAGCGGAGGUGGCCAACCUAGGCGGCGGCACCACGAAUCCCGUCGAUGGCCAGCGAGGGGAAGCCCAGCGGGGGCCUCAGUGGCCGGUGCCCAAGCUUGGCGCCAGUCUGUUGGACAAGGCCGUGAUGGUCGCCGUCAUAGGAGGUGUGUGGAUCUGACUCCAAUGGCGUCGGCGAGCUCAUCCUCGUUCUCUUGCUCGACGAGGAGGACUUAGUGAGCUCCGACUCUGUUGUCGCCGGUGAGCUCAUCCUCCUCCAAUGGAGUGCAGCCUCUAAUCUUUGAUCCCAUGUAAUUAGCUAGUGAUUCUAAACUACUCGUAUUGUUUAAUAUGUUGUAUAUGGGAUCGACGAAUUUUGUGUUAAUUGUUGUUUUAAUUGAUUAACGUUGUGGUAAACAAAAAUGUUAU